rnacentral:rRNA from 1 species
AUGGCCGAAUGCUUCAAUAGGGUGCUCAAAGGUGCACGUGGAUUACCCGUGACGGCAAUAGUUCAAUACACAUUUGACAAGAUGAAUGCGUACUUUGUAAAGUACUCGAUGGAAACCGAUGCACAGAUAGCGGAUGAGAACCCACGGAAGUACAAGUACAAGUUCCCACCCAAAGUUUAUGAAUGGUUGGUAUUUCAAUCACGGAAGGCGGACUCAGAAGAAGCUAUAUUAUAUGACAACGAAGAGUGAAAGUACGAAGUGAAAGAGCCAGGAGGAACCACAAACGAUGGCCGGCAACAUGGAGGUCGAGCUUUCAAGGUGUCGUUAACACAAUGUGAUUGCACUUGCGGGAGGCCAUUGUUGCUUCAUCUCCCAUGCUCACAUUUGUAUGCCACCGGUCGCGUUAGGAAUGUGGACAUCAAUCACCCAUGCACCGUGAGGGAGUCGGAGUUCUCAAUCAUGACAGCCAAGAAAACAUGGGCUCCCCGCUUUCACCCAUACUUUGACCAAUCACAAUGGCCGGAGUAUCAUGGAGUUCAACUAUGGCCGGAUCCG